UGGGGAAUCUUGGACAAUGGGCGCAAGCCUGAUCCAGCCAUGCCGCGUGAGUGAUGAAGGCCUUAGGGUUGUAAAACUCUUUUGUCCGGGACGAUAAUGACGGUACCGGAAGAAAAAGCUCCGGCUAACUUCGUGCCAGCAGCCGCGGUAAUACGAAGGGGGCUAGCGUUGUUCGGAUUUACUGGGCGUAAAGCGCGUGUAGGCGGGUUUGUAAGUUGGGGGUGAAAGCCCAGAGCUCAACUCUGGAAUUGCCUUCAAGACUGCAAGCCUGGACCCAAGGAGAGGCAAGUGGAAUUGCGAGUGUAGAGGUGAAAUUCGUAGAUAUUCGCAGGAACACCAGUGGCGAAGGCGACUUGCUGGACUUGUGGUGACGCUGAGACGCGAAAGCGUGGGGAGCAAACAGG
rnacentral:rRNA from 1 species